AGGACCAGGAUGUACUGCUGCACUCCAAAACAGUUUCUUUCAUGCAUCCUACAUUCCAUCUAUUCUACUUCAACCCCAGCCUGGAUCACGAUUUUGUCUUCAACCUUCAAGGAAGCUUGAUGGAAUUCUGUCCUUCUCAGUGGGAAAGAAAGAAAUGCCUAUUAUUUUUUCCUUGUGAUUGGCCAUCCAGACCAAAGCUUUCAGCCUUGAAUAACCUUCUGAAUUAGGGAGAAGGUGUGUGUUGUAUCUGUCAUCCAUGAAGAUCUAUGAGGAUCUACUUGAUAAACUGGAGUGAGAGCUUGAGAAAAGCUGAAGCGAUCGUUUCCUGUUGUGAUUGGAAAGCUACUGUCAUCGAGAUAAAAGAGAUGGAGAAAUCUUUUUUUCUGAAAAAAGCUGUUUUCACCUUUAUCUUUUGAAGAGAAUUUUGAGAAGAAAUUUUAUUUGAGAAGUAUGGAAAAAACUAAAUAGCAGAAGACUGAGUUUUCAUAAGUAAAGAGAAUUCUACGGGCUGAGUUAAGGUGAUUCUAUGACAUUCAUUGCUAAAAUAUUGUAAAUAAUUAUAUGUGUAUUUAUGUUUAUGUAUCAUGGAUGAGGCAGGGGUGUGGCAUCCAUUCCCACCGUUUUUUCUGGGCUGGCUCACUCCCCUCAAUUUGCAUACAUGGGGGCAAGUUUUGGGGAUUUUUUUUUUAAUGGGAGAGUUCCACAAGAGGAAGGUUGCCCCACAGAUACGACGUACUCUUAAGAGUCUUAGGGGUAAACCCGGUGUAGAAGAAUACACUUCUACUGCUUGAUCCAGAGCUCCCACCAUCCAUUUGCAUAAAUCAGUCACCAGGACAUCAUUAAUACAUGAAACUUUACUAACCAAGAAGGCAAAAAGAAGGAAUAAAAAGGAGAGAUAAUCAAAACAUAAUUUUACUCCAUAAAUUUGUGUCACUCUCUUGUCAAUAAACACCACGUCAUUGAGGGAAGGGUAUACACGAACAUACAGAAACUGAUUGGUGAGGCAGAUGAGUAGGGAUAUUUAUGCGCCCAGAACAGCUCAUGGCUCUGACUGCCGCUCGUCCUUGAUGAUUUAGGGGAAUGAUUUGCAACAACAUCACCUGCUGGGCUCUUCCUCUGGGCCUCUCCACCCCUCCUGCUGGACAAAGCUGCUUCUCUGCAGCUCCUCUCAGACAAAAGAAACUGUUUCAGUAAGAUAGCAUUAUGCUCCUUCAGUGGCAAGCGUUUCCUCCAACAAAUCAGCU